rnacentral:misc_RNA from 1 species
GAUGAAGAACGCAGCAAAAUGCGAUACUUGGUGUGAAUUGCAGAAUCCCGUGAACCAUCGAGUUUUUGAACGCAAGUUGCGCCCGAAGCCUUUUGGCCGAGGGCACGUCUGCCUGGGCGUCACGCAUCGCGUCGCCCCCCACAAUUCUCCGUAAAGGGAACUCGUGUUUUGGAGGCGGAUAUUGGUCUCCCGUGCUCACGGCGUGGUUGGCCGAAAUAGGAGUCCCUUCGAUGGACGCACGAACUAGUGGUGGUCGUAAAAACCCUCGUCUUUUGUUUCGUGCUGUUAGUCGCAAGGGAAACUCUAAGAAAACCCCAACGUGUCGUCUUUUGACGGCGCUUCGACCGCGACCCCAGGUCAGGCGGGACUACCCGCUGAGUUUAAGCAUAUCAAUAAGCGGAGGA